rnacentral:rRNA from 1 species
ACCCUACGGGAGGCAGCAGUGGGGAAUAUUGCACAAUGGGGGGAACCCUGAUGCAGCGACGCCGCGUGAGUGAAGCAGUAUUUCGGUAUGUAAAGCUCUAUCAGCAGGGAAGAAAAUGACGGUACCUGACUAAGAAGCCCCGGCUAACUACGUGCCAGCAGCCGCGGUAAUACGUAGGGGGCAAGCGUUAUCCGGAUUUACUGGGUGUAAAGGGAGCGUAGACGGCAGAGCAAGUCUGAAGUGAAAGCCCGCGGCCCAACUG